AGCCAGACUCCUACGGGAGGCAGCAGUGGGGAAUAUUGCACAAUGGGGGAAACCCUGAUGCAGCAACGCCGCGUGAGUGAAGAAGUAUUUCGGUAUGUAAAGCUCUCUCAGCAGGGAAGAAAAUGACGGUACCUGAGUAAGAAGCCCCGGCUAACUACGUGCCAGCAGCCGCGGUAAUACGUAGGGGGCAAGCGUUAUCCGGAUUUACUGGGUGUAAAGGGAGCGUAGACGGCGAUGCAAGUCUGAAGUGAAAGCCCGGGGCUCAACCCCGGGACUGCUUUGGAAACUGUAUGGCUGGAGUGCUGGAGAGGCAAGCGGAAUUCCUAGUGUAGCGGUGAAAUGCGUAGAUAUUAGGAGGAACACCAGUGGCGAAGGCGGCUUACCGGACGGUAACUGACGUUGAGGCUCGAAAGCGUGGGGAGCAAACAGGAUUAGAUACCCCAGUA
rnacentral:rRNA from 1 species